GCACCCGUAGUCAUUUGAUCUAUUACCGCGAUUAAAUACAUACAUACAGUUUAUAUAGUUAAUCUAUGAUCCUGGUUUAAAUUCAUUUCCGUAUUUAUCUGACAUUGGCAACAAUCAACAAACGUUGACGCACAUACGGCAUAUAACGGAUCUCAGGGAAGCGGUAAAUUGAGCAAAAUGACACUAGAAGAAUAUAAAGAAAUUGUAGGAUUAUGUGCCAUGUAUAUCACAAUGUUACAAAUGCUAGCCGGAACAGUUAUAUGUAAAAACAUAUAUCAGAAAAGUACAUCUAAAGGUGUUGAUCCAAUACCUUUUCUUGGUGGUAUAGGUCUAUGUAUAUUGAUGCUUCGAUAUGCAUGGAUGUUGGGUGAUCCUGCAAUGAUAAAUGUUAAUGUAUUUGGUGUUGUAACAAAUGCAGCAUAUAUGACAGUAUAUUAUUAUUAUGCUCCAAACAUAAAGGAUGUACUCAAUCUAAUAUGGAAAGCAACAAUUUUUGUUACAGUCUUUCUUGUAUAUGCACAAAUAGAACAUCCAUCAAAUGUUGAAUUUAGGUUCGGCAUAGUGGUUACUGCACUGCUCCUCCUUUUAAUUGCAGCUCCUCUUAUACAUCUUAGGGAAAUUAUAAAAACAAAGAAUACAGAAAUACUUCCAUUUCCACUUAUCCUCAUGGGUACUUUAGUUUCUUUCAACUGGCUAUUAUAUGGUCUUAUCAUUGAUAAUGUUUUCAUUAUCUUCCAGAACGCAGUUGGUUUUACACUUAAUGUAACUCAACUAUCUCUUUUUGUGAUAUUUCCAUCUAAAAAACCACAGGAUGGAUUGUUGAGCGAACAAAAAAAGGAAGAUUAAAAUGAUUUUCUAAAGAAGACAUAUUUCUUAUAAAAGAGGGCGUUUAAAAAUGGCCAAUUUUAGCCGUGAACGGACACCUUUAAAAUCUAUGCAGUUACCAUGUUAGAAAUCCAUAAAUUCAUGAGAGAAAGUUUAUCCAGAAAAGCUUGAGGAAUCUCCCAAAAAUAAUAAAGACCUGGAUCGGAUCGGAAUCAAAACCGAAAAGCAUAUGAAAACCGGUAUUUUUGUCAGACCGAAACCGUAAACUAUACCGAAAUUUUAUAAAGAACCGAAAACAGCCCGGAACCGAAAUCGGAACCGUUACAUUUUUUCGGUUCACUAUUUCGGUACUUAUUUUGUGAUUUUAAAAAAUCGUUUUUUUUUUCUUUUAUAAUAAAGUUUUUAUUUCUCACGAAAAAACAGGACAUUGAUUAAUUAUCGCGCCAAAUAGAAAAUAAACUUCAAGUAUAUGAUAUUGAACAGAAGAGGAUUAGUAGAAGAAGUAAUAUAUUACAAUUUUGGAAUAAAUAGAAGUAAUAUAUCAUAAUUUGGGAUAAAUAGAAAGACAAUCAUCCUGAAUUGUACAAAUUAUUUUAACGGAAUGUAUAUAUUCUGAGAAAGUUUGGAGAAUAUCGAAAUAUUCUUCGAAUAUACUCAGAAUCUAUAUAAUUUAUUUAGCGUAUUUAGCGGGAACGGCGCGGGUAGGCAAUGUUUUCAACACGUUCCCGUCCAUUCUUAAAUUCAUUAUACCUAUGCUUCACCCGAGCCCAUGAAAAGGUUUUUUCCCCGAACUGUGGGAAUAAACGGCGCCGAAUUUCAGCAGCAUUUAC